GUUCAGUAGUCAGGGCACUGAUCAGGGUAUCAGCCACAUUCACUUUCAUUAUAUACUGAUUCACGACCUAGGGAGCUAGGGAGCUGAUUGAGACACAGGGAUAGACUCGUAUGAGGUGUCGUUUCUCUAUUUACGAUGCUAACUAAGCAAUCAGUCGUGUCGAUCGUCGCGUACCUUGCCGUGAGCAGAAUCCGUGACCAAUGACGUGUGAUAAGAAGCGUGACACUUUCGUCGCCCCCCUUCUCGCCUGAGAAACCGUGUGAGAAGCUACGUGAGAAGCUACGUGACGUCUGCGCCGUGACGUCUGAAACCCAAAGGAAAAGGACAGUGAUCCCCAAACCACAGAGAAAUGAAUGACUGUUGAUGAGUAUCAAGCACAACCUUGACAGAGACUCAGAAGAGGCUGAAAAAAAUGGAGGAAAAUGAAAAAUUGAGAAAUGGCAACGACAAAAGCUACCAUAUCUGAUAAAUGAAGUGAAGAUGGCCCUGAAGUCUCAGUGUUUGUCAGCAUCAGUCAGCUCUGACUUGGAAGAUGGGACAGGAUUUGCCAUAGAGUAAUUACAACAGAACAGGAGCAACAUUGCAGAAAGUGUCUUCAUGUGGUGCCUGCCAGCAUUGGUACAGCAAUUAAUGCCAAACUUACUGAAAUUAGAGGGAAGAAAACACAAAAACAUCCGAAAACCUUAAUGGUCUUUGAUGAUUGAUAGCCGUGACAGUGUGUUCAAGGUAUUUUGUUGUUGUUGUUGGGGUGUGUGUGUGUGUGUGUGUGUGUGUGUGUGUGUGUUUUGCCUUCGCAAAGUUCAGUUUGAUAUCAAGUUGUAAUUCUAAAUUACUCGUGGAGUUUAAUUUCAUUAUGUCUCUUUGAUUGUAUUGAAAUAAAAGUAUUUCUGAUGCAAAUUUGUGCAAGUAAUUGACUGAAAUCAUAAUUUGUAUAUGCAGAGAUAUUGUAAUAUUUACUGAAAUCAUAUAAGAUAAUUAUAUGUAGAGAUACAAGGAAUUAGGUGGAAACUAGUGUUGUCAAAAGUACCGGUACUUCGGUACCAAGUCGGUACUGAAAUUUUGAAAAUGUGACGAUACCAGCAUUUCUGUAGUACCGGUAGUACCGAGAAUCCGGG